AACGAACGCUGGCGGCAGGCUUAACACAUGCAAGUCGAGCGCCCCGCAAGGGGAGCGGCAGACGGGUGAGUAACGCGUGGGAACGUACCUUUUGGUUCGGAACAACUCCGGGAUACUGGAGCUAAUACCGGAUAAGCCCUAACGGGGAAAGAUUUAUCGCCGAAAGAUCGGCCCGCGUCUGAUUAGCUAGUUGGUGAGGUAACGGCUCACCAAGGCGACGAUCAGUAGCUGGUCUGAGAGGAUGAUCAGCCACACUGGGACUGAGACACGGCCCAGACUCCUACGGGAGGCAGCAGUGGGGAAUAUAGGACAAUGGGCGCAAGCCUGAUCCAGCCAUGCCGCGUGAGUGAUGAAGGCCUGAGGGUUGUAAAGCUCUUUUGUCCGGGAAGAUAAUGACUGUACCGGAAGAAUAAGCCCCGGCUAACUUCGUG
rnacentral:rRNA from 1 species